CAUCCUGAGGGAUUUUACGUUGUGCAAAUUCACAGCUCAGAGUAGAAAAGAGUGAAAAAACUCUCUAUAAAAAAAACUCAGAGAAUCAUCAAAACAACCUUUUAUCUCAGAAUAAGUUAAAUCCCAGUGUUAGUCACACACUUUGAGCCUUUCGUGGAGUCAUCUGAUGACGCGUGGAGCAGAGCGAUGAGUGGUCACUGAGUGAAGGUUGAAUAUGACGAAGGCUCUGACCUCGCUGGGACGGCGUGUCUGAAGGUCCCACACGUCGAGUAUUAUUAAACUCGAUAAGAACUUCCAUUGAAGUAACGUCAGGACAUCACAACACAAUCAGAUCACUCCCAUGCUGCAGGACAGCAGGGGACAGGCAAUCAGCGCUCAAUCUCUGGGUAUCAGCAACAAGAAGAAGAAGAAAAAAAUCAGAAGAAGCGGUUUAUACAGUCGGCGGGAGACAGAAG